CCCAGUAACGGCGAGUGAAGCGGCAACAGCUCAAAUUUGAAAUCUGGCCCCCAGGGCCCGAGUUGUAAUUUGCAGAGGAUGCUUUUGGCGCGGUGCCUUCCGAGUUCCCUGGAACGGGACGCCAUAGAGGGUGAGAGCCCCGUCUGGUCGGACACCAAGCCAGUGUAAAGCUCCUUCGACGAGUCGAGUAGUUUGGGAAUGCUGCUCUAAAUGGGAGGUAUAUGUCUUCUAAAGCUAAAUACCGGCCAGAGACCGAUAGCGCACAAGUAGAGUGAUCGAAAGAUGAAAAGCACUUUGAAAAGAGGGUUAAACAGUACGUGAAAUUGUUGAAAGGGAAGCGUUUGUGACCAGACUUGGGCCCGGUGAAUCAUCCAGCGUUCUCGCUGGUGCACUUCGCCGGGCCCAGGCCAGCAUCAGUUCGCCGCGGGGGAUAAAAGCUUCGGGAACGUGGCUCCCUCGGGAGUGUUAUAGCCCGUUGCAUAAUACCCUGCGGCGGACUGAGGUUCGCGCUCCGCAAGGAUGCUGGCGUAAUGGUCAUCAGCGACCCGUCUUGAAACACGGACCAAGGAGUCGUCUUCGUAUGCGAGUGUUCGGGUGUCAAACCCCUACGCGUAAUGAAAGUGAACGCAGGUGAGAGCUUCGGCGCAUCAUCGACCGAUCCUGAUGUUCUCGGAUGGAUUUGAGUAAGAGCAUACGGGGCCGGACCCGAAAGAAGGUGAACUAUGCCUGUAUAGGGUGAAGCCAGAGGAAACUCUGGUGGAGGCUCGCAGCGGUUCUGACGUGCAAAUCGAUCGUCAAAUAUGGGCAUG
rnacentral:rRNA from 1 species